GCCGGGCAGAGCCUGCCCUCGCCCACAGCACGUGGGAGUGGACGUGUUGCCAGUGUGGCCCUGGGAGCCAAGCAGACUGCCCAGGCUCAUGGAGGGAAAGGCGAGCUGCUGUCGCAGCUGCAGCAAGAGGCAGCGGUCAAGAGAGCACCUGGAUGCUGGCUGAGGAAUGAGGAAGCCCUGGCCAGCCAGUGCCAGGGGUCACCCACAAGGUGUGCAGGUGUCCAGCGUGUGGCCAGGAGGCAAGCAGGAAUUCCAGCCAUGGCGGGCUCUGAUCCUCACCUCGCAGGGAGCAGUGAUCCAGAGGACGAAGGACAACUGCUGAGCUAAGCAAGCUCCAUGAAGGUAAACUGCAGUGGAAGUAUUCCAGACCCUCUGUGAAUCAUGGUUACCUUUGCUAAUUUGGUUUUACAUGCAUGGAACGGUUUAAGAUUCAGGUCUGUAGGAUUUCUAUCAUUACUGCUCAUGGGACAGAAGCCAGGAAUUCCACCAUCAGAACAGAUCAUCUGUCUGAAGAUGGCAAGACACUAAGACCCCUGAGGGUGCAUUGGAUAAUAGCAGUAAUAUCAGUUACAACAGAGAUAAAUGCCCUGCAGGGAAAAAACCUGACUAUAGAACUUGGCAUAUUGCUCCUUCCCCUGCAGCUUUAUAAGAAUGUCUCGGAGACUGAAGGAAUUCAGCAAUGGAGGAAAGAGCCAUCUCCAAAUCUGAUUGGAGGCAACAUCAUAAAAAAUACUUUCCACAUGCAAGCAGCUGUGAAUAAACCUGUCAAAUAUUUACAGGCCUGUCAGGGCAUUUGUAAUGGAGAUCACAAUGUGGCUUUUGAAUGUAAAAGCUUCUGCUUGGCAAGGCAAUCAGCUAAAGUGGACUCUCCAGGUCUAUUAUUUAGACCAAGAGCCUAUCCAGCAAUUCUUCUGAAGCCAGACACUACUCUUGUUACUGGGAGAACACAUUUCUAUUUAAAAAAACGUAGUCCUUUAAAAAAUGGUUUCUAAAGGACAAAGGUGCUAAGUUCACAAAUACCUUUGUAUUGCUAUCAUUUCAUUACCUAUCUAACGAGAGCUGGCUCUGUGAAGUUAGGCUGCCACAAAUGACUUGGGGGUUUUCUGUAUAAAAGCAGCAGAAAUGAGAAGUGAGAAAAGCUGAGGCUAGGCACUGGAGAAACAGAGCACCAAGGAAGACCACUAGGAAGAGUGCCAGGAAAAGAAACGAGUUUUUCAUUGUGAUCCCUACAACAGGCUUCUGUCAUCAUGGGGCAGGGAGGAAAACACUAAGAAAGGCUCCAGAGAGGUCCACUGCCUAUCCACUGAACAUGAGUUCAGCAAAAAAAAGAGAGAUGAUCCCUAGAAAGAAAGAAGAGGUAUGUAAUCCUGAUCUGUGACCCCUGGAGUGCAGAAUGAGAGCAGCUAUUCUCUGAUCUUUCUAGGCUUUCACAGCGCUGCCCAAAAAUCUGCUGGGCACCCUUGCAAGGCUGCAAGGGACCAGCAAGGACCGUCUGUGCUUAGCACUCCAGAACCAGUUCAGACUUAAGGUCUUUGCCCAUACGCAAAACUGAGAUUACUUCAAGAUCACUGGCAUCCCCUUCUGCUAGUACGACGUGGAUGCAGUUCAGCCAGUGGACUGCACGAUGAAGCGCAGAAGUCAACCUUCUCUCCUGGGUGCACGGCUCACUUUCAAAUGGUGAAAGAAGUAAGCAGCAAAGAAUGGAGGGUUGGGUCUAGGAACUUCCAAGCAAGAUGCCCAAGGAGUCAUCAGGACCAAAGCAGAUCAUCCUCCUCAAAGACUAGGUAUUCACUGGCACAUGAAAAUGGUAAACCCUUAGCAUUAAAGGUAUCCCAAAAACACUAGCUCUAGCAUGGCUACUUAAAUACAAUCACAAUGACAUCUUCAAGAGCAAGCACAUCUGUAUUUCCCCAAUAAAACAAAAAUACAAGGUUAA